rnacentral:rRNA from 1 species
GAGUUUGAUCGUGGCUCAGGAUGAACGCUGGCGGCGUGCCUAAUACAUGCAAGUCGAGCGGUAAGGCCUCUUCGGAGGUACACGAGCGGCGGACGGCUGAGUAACACGUAGGAACGUACCCCAAAGUGAGGGAUAACUGCUCGAAAGAGUAGCUAAUACCGCAUGUGAUCCACGGAUUAAAGCCUUCGGGCGCUAUGGGAACGGCCUGCGUAUGAUUAGUUAGUUGGUGAGGUAAUGGCUCACCAAGACGAUGAUCAUUAGCUGGUCUGAGAGGAUGAUCAGCCAGACUGGGACUGAGAACGGCCCAGACUCCUACGGGAGGCAGCAGUAGGGAAUUUUCCACAAUGGACGAAAGCCUGAUGGAGCAACGCCGCGUGCAGGAUGAAUGCCUUAGGGUUGUAAACUGCUUUUAUUAGUGACGAUUAUGACGGUAACUAAUGAAUAAGGACCUGCUAACUACGUGCCAGCCGCCGCCGU